UAGUUGCAAACUAUCACUUCUACGAAACGGCAGAUACUUUCUACCCCUUGUUUCUAAAAUAAUAUUAUUAUUAUAUAACUGAUAUUGACCUCGUUUCCCUCCUAAUAAAAACAGAUGCAAACGAAACGUUUCCGUGCUGAGAUUAAAACUGGGAUAAGGGUUUGUCGGCUGACAAACUGAGGAGAGGAACUUCAGUCUUACGUUUUCAAGAGGCUAUCAUACUUUCGUUCAUCAUACAUAAUUCCAGUAAGUUGGCGGUUUUGGUGUUUUUUUUUUUUUUUCAGGUGACUGUUUCAUGGGCGGUGGGAUUGAGAGUCAGGAGGAAAUAUCAAACAUAAACCUUGCCGAUCACGAAAGUUGCGGAAUUACUGUUGACAGAGUAAGCGAGAAAAGAUGGCGGUUAUGAAGCCUGAUUUGGGAAUUCAGUGUUAUGCAAGACAACACACUCAAGCUGAUCAAGAGAACAGACAACUGAGCUUGAAGCAUGUUAACCUAAUCGAAUUUGGAAGUUACUUGAUGAUCGUUGCACCCUCUAGGUGUGAAAACAGUUUUAAAGAUUGGUUUCACUGUAAUCUUUUCCGGUUAAUAAUCUAUCACCAGUUUCACUGUAAUCUAUUCCCAUAUACAUAAACGGUGUACAUAAACACACUCGAGUCGAAAGCGUCACCGAUUUUCUUUCAGGAGCUCAACUAGGUAGUCUUUCUUAUCUAAUCUCUGGACUUUCCAAAUGAGGAUUCAAAGAGAGGUCGAAGUUCAUCCGUUAAUGAAACUAUGAUUUAUAUCAUAUUGCAUUUACUUUCUUCUACGAGGACAAAGAACCCACUAAAAUAUGUGUCACUUCUUACGCGAGGUUUAGUUGCUCAGUUUGUACUAGCGCCAAACUUGUAUCUUGAAAACACGCCGGAGUUUGUAUCCCGUUCAAGCCUCGAUAUAUUCAGACCUUUUUUUUUUUUAUUCAAUUGUUUAUUUAAAGCUCAACUCUUAAUUUUUCUGCACUUGAACUUCAUCUGCAAGUGAGCACAUGACUUAUUUCAUUAAAACCGCGAUAAGACGGCGGAAAUUAAACCGA